rnacentral:lncRNA from 1 species
ACCUUUUCCUCUGUUCUACCGGCAGGUCGUGCUUUGACCACAGCUGCCCUUGGGGAGGCUGGCACAGAGCCACAGCUAGAUCCUCAGGCUGCUUGUCAAGGGUGGGGCAGCAGGACAUGCCACUCUUCCUCCAUGAGCCCAGCCAGGACCUCCACUGGGCACUUGGCACUGCCACGUCUUCCUAAGGAGAGAGCUGGAGAAGGAACCCAAGGGAGCCAGACUCCAGAGCCCUGGGACCCAGACAGAGCUCCAGGAAGGUUCAGGUGGAGUUCAAAUCACCAGUAGCAAAAGCGCCUUCCAGAAGUGAAGAGAUUACCAGUUCUCAGAGAGCAGGGAGCCACAGGUGAGUGAGGAAGGAGAGAUAGACAGUCUGCAGCAUGUUUGAUC